CUUUACGAAUGACACACACAAUGGAGAAGGUCAUGCUCUUUUGUGCUUUUUCAUACAGAAUAAUUCAGAUCACUUCCAGCGGUAAAUUGAUUCUACUUUACGAUUUCACAUAACUGACCUUUUUAAACUUAAAUAUGUUUUUAUCGAAAAUUUUUUUUCCAGAUGUUUCAGAACAUGAUGUGAGUAUUUUACGAGUCCGGCUGAAUGAAAGCAUCCGUCUGAACUGCAGCAUGACCGACAGAUAUGAAAUCUCCUGGUAUCACCAGAAUCCUGAGUCUGGGCAACUAACACUACUGAUGUCUGCUAAGACCAGCAGUGUAGCGGGAAGAAAACUGCUCGUUAGGUACAAUCAAAACUGGAGUCGUCUGACAGUGAAAGCAGAUGUGGAGAUCAACACAGUCUCGCUAGUUAUUUCUGGACUAACAGAGUCAGAUGCAGGUCUUUAUUUCUGUGGAACAAAAUCAGUGGAAAUGCACUUCAACAAACCCAUCAGACUACAGAUGGAGGACGGAGAGGACAAAGUUCAUUCUGUCACAGAUCCGCCAGAGGAUGCUGAGCUCACAGCCUCUACAGUCGAGGUGAUGCUGUCGGAGCGUGUGCUGAUGUUCGGUGGUGUUGGUCUGGCUGUGCUUGUGUUUUUUCUGGCUACAGUCGUUGCAGGAGGAAUCAUUCACUGUUACGGUUGGCAGAAAGGAUGGGCCGCAGCCAAACGUGCUGGUCUGACUGAUUAAAAAAAUAACCUUAAUGACCUUUCUUUUUCACUCUAUCACAGUAAUCAGCAUCGCUGUAUGUUACCACUUAUAGUGGUUCACCAAUGUGGUUCAGAUCUCACUUAGACUUCUCUAGGUCUAAAAGGAGCUCUAGAGGAGCAUUAAAUUGCCCCGUUUAUGCUAUUUAAAAGGUUCAAAACUUGGUUUUGAGAGUUCUCAACAAUAGGUUUAUAUGCAUGCGAGAAACAUGCAAUUUCAUUGACUUUUGUGUGCGCAGUAAAACUAAGAAAUCACACGUGUUUGUGCAUUUUCUGACAGAAAACCUGAUCAUUAGCAAUGCUAAACCUCUUCAGACACAACUGUAUGUGUUCAAUGUCAGAUCUGUUCUCACGGUUUCAGAAAAAU
rnacentral:lncRNA from 1 species